CUCAUUUCAUUCAUUAAAAACUCCUUUUGUUUCUUACAUUAGAAAAGAUAUACAUAUUCCAGAUUUAUACAUAAAAAAAUUCAAUUUCAACUUUAUUCAUUGAAAAACAGGAUUAUCACUCUAACGAAGCCACUGCUAGAUGCAGAGAUUCUCCAGUUACGACUACUAGCUGACUUUUGAAGGUGUUUUUUCAUCAUAAUCAAAAAAUGGAGCGAGAUAUUGAGCAUCAGUUCCAAAAUCACGCAGUUAAUGAUAAAUGCGUAACCUUAUCAGGAAUAUUUAUAUUUAUUGUGCUACUGCUUUAUUUAUUGUUCCUUAUAUUACAUUCGCCAAUUUUUCACCAUUUGAAAACUAUA